rnacentral:rRNA from 1 species
GGAAUCUUCCACAAUGGACGCAAGUCUGAUGGAGCAACGCCGCGUGAGUGAAGAAGGUCUUCGGAUCGUAAAACUCUGUUGUUAGAGAAGAACACGAGUGAGAGUAACUGUUCAUUCGAUGACGGUAUCUAACCAGCAAGUCACGGCUAACUACGUGCUAG